rnacentral:rRNA from 10 species
CACAUCAGCCAUACCACCCUGAACACGCCCGAUCUCGUCUGAUCUCGGAAGCUAAGCAGGGUCGGGCCUGGUUAGUACUUGGAUGGGAGACCGCCUGGGAAUACCAGGUGCUGUAAGUGG